rnacentral:rRNA from 1 species
GAUGUAACGAUCCCUUCCCUUCGGGGCAUUCCAGACAGGUGGUGCAUGGUUGUCGUCAGCUCGUGUCGUGAGAUGUUGGGUUAAGUCCCGCAACGAGCGCAACCCUUAUCCUUAGUAGCCAGCAAGUCAAGUUGGGCACUCUGGGGAGACUGCCAGGGAUAACCUGGAGGAAGGUGGGGAUGACGUCAAAUCAUCAUGCCCCUUAUGAUUUGGGCUACACACGUGCUACAAUGGCGUAAACAAAGGGAAGCAAAGGAGCGAUCUGGAGCAAACCCCAAAAAUAACGUCUCAGUUCGGAUUGUAGUCUGCAACUCGACUACAUGAAGCUGGAAUCGCUAGUAAUCGCGGAUCAGAAUGCCGCGGUGAAUACGUUCCCGGGUCUUGUACACACCGCCCGUCACACCAUGGGAGUUGGUAACGCCCGAAGUCAGUGACCCAACCGUAAGGAGGGAGCUGCCGAAGGCGGGACUGAUAACUGGGGUGAAGUCGUAACAAGGUAGCCGUAUCGGAAGGUGCGGCUGGAUCACCUCCUUUCUAAGGAA